rnacentral:rRNA from 1 species
GACGAACGCUGGCGGCGUGCCUAAUACAUGCAAGUAGAACGCUGAAGGAGGAGCUUGCUUCUCUGGAUGAGUUGCGAACGGGUGAGUAACGCGUAGGUAACCUGCCUGGUAGCGGGGGAUAACUAUUGGAAACGAUAGCUAAUACCGCAUAAUAGCAGUUGUUGCAUGACAACUGUUUGAAAGGUGCAAUUGCACCACUACCAGAUGGACCUGCGUUGUAUUAGCUAGUUGGUGGGGUAACGGCUCACCAAGGCGACGAUACAUAGCCGACCUGAGAGGGGGAUCGGCCACACUGGGACUGAGACACGGCCCAGACUCCUACGGGAGGCAGCAGGAGGGAAUCUUCGGCAAUGGACGGAAGUCUGACCGAGCAACGCCGCGUGAGUGAAGAAGGUUGUCGGAUCGUAAAGCUCUGUUGUAAGAGAGGAACGAGUGUGAGAGUGGAAAGUUCACACUGUGACGGUAUCUUACCAGAAAGGGACGGCUAACUACGUG